rnacentral:rRNA from 1 species
UGGGGAAUAUUGGACAAUGGGCGAAAGCCUGAUCCAGCCAUGCCGCGUGUGUGAAGAAGGUCUUCGGAUUGUAAAGCACUUUAAGUUGGGAGGAAGGGCAGUAAGCGAAUACCUUGCUGUAUUGACGUUACCGACAGAAUAAGCACCGGCUAACUCUGUGCCAGCAGCCGCGGUAAUACAGAGGGUGCAAGCGUUAAUCGGAAUUACUGGGCGUAAAGCGCGCGUAGGUGGUUCGUUAAGUUGAAUGUGAAAGCCCCGGGCUCAACCUGGGAACUGCAUCCAAAACUGGCGAGCUAGAGUAGGGCAGAGGGUGGUGGAAUUUCCUGUGUAGCGGUGAAAUGCGUAGAUAUAGGAAGGAACACCAGUGGCGAAGGCGACCACCUGGGCUCAUACUGACACUGAGGUGCGAAAGCGUGGGGAGCAAACAGG